CCUACGGGAGGCAGCAGUGGGGAAUAUUGCACAAUGGGGGAAACCCUGAUGCAGCGACGCCGCGUGAGUGAAGAAGUAAUUCGUUACGUAAAGCUCUAUCAGCAGGGAAGAAAAUGACGGUACCUGAGUAAGAAGCCCGGGCUAACAACGUGCCAGCAGCCGCGGUAAUACGUAGGGGGCAAGCGUUAUCCGGAUUUACUGGGUGUAAAGGGAGCGUAGACGGUGAGCCAAGUCUGGAGUGAAAUGCCGCAGCUUAACUGCGGAACUGCGUUGGAAACGGGCGAGCGAGAGUGCGGGAGGGGUAAGCGGAAUUCCUGGUGUAGCGGUGAAAUGCGUAGAUAUUAGGAGGAACACCGGUGGCGAAGGCAGCUUACUGGACCGUAACUGACGUUGAGGCGCGAAAGCGUGGGGAGCGAACAGGAUUAGAUACCCGAGUAGUC
rnacentral:rRNA from 1 species